CCUACGGGAGGCAGCAGUAGGGAAUCUUCCACAAUGGGCGAAAGUCUGAUGCAGCAACGCCGCGUGGAUGAAGAAGGUCUUCGGAUCGUAAAACUCUUUUGUUAGAGAAGUAAGUGCGUGAGAGUAACUGUUCAUGCUUCGACGUUAUCUAACCAGAAAGCCACGGCUAACUACGUGCCAGCAGCCGCGGUAAUACGUAGGUGGCAAGCGUUAUUCGGAUUUAUUGGGCGUAAAGGGAACGGAGGCGGUCUUUUAAGUGUGAUGUGAAAGCCUUCGGCUUAACCGGAGUAGUGCAUUGGAAACUGGGAGACUUGAGUGCAGAAGAGGAGAGUGGAAUUCCAGGUGUAGCGGUGAAAUGCGUAGAUAUAUGGAAGAACACCAGUGGCGAAAGCGGCUCUCUGAACUGUAACUGACGCUGAGGUUCGAAAGCGUGGGUAGCAAACAGGAUUAGAUACCCUAGUAGUC
rnacentral:rRNA from 1 species